UGGGGAAUUAGCUCAGCUGGCUAGAGCACCUGCCUUGCACGCAGGGGGUCAAGGGUUCGAAUCCCUUAUUCUCCACAAA
rnacentral:tRNA from 1 species